GACGAACGCUGGCGGCGUGCCUAAUACAUGCAAGUCGAGCGAAGUUUUUCUGGUGCUUGCACUAGAAAAACUUAGCGGCGAACGGGUGAGUAACACGUAAAGAACCUGCCUCAUAGACUGGGACAACUAUUGGAAACGAUAGCUAAUACCGGAUAACAGUAUUUCUCGCAUGAGAGAUAUUUAAAAGUUGGUUAUGCUAACACUAUGAGAUGGCUUUGCGGUGCAUUAGCUAGUUGGUGGGGUAAAGGCCCACCAAGGCGACGAUGCAUAGCCGACCUGAGAGGGUGAUCGGCCACACUGGGACUGAGACACGGCCCAGACUCCUACGGGAGGCAGCAGUAGGGAAUCUUCCGCAAUGGGCGAAAGCCUGACGGAGCAACGCCGCGUGAGUGAAGAAGGAUUUCGGUUCGUAAAGCUCUGUUGUUAGGGAAGAAUGGAUAUGUAGUAACUA
rnacentral:rRNA from 1 species